rnacentral:rRNA from 1 species
GACGAACGCUGGCGGCGUGCUUAACACAUGCAAGUCGAACGGAAAGGCCCUGCUUUUGUGGGGUGCUCGAGUGGCGAACGGGUGAGUAACACGUGAGUAACCUGCCCCUGACUUUGGGAUAACUUCAGGAAACUGGGGCUAAUACCGGAUAGGAGCUCCUGCUGUAUGGUGGGGGUUGGAAAGUUUCGGCGGUUGGGGAUGGACUCGCGGCUUAUCAGCUUGUUGGUGGGGUAGUGGAUGAGCAAGGCUUUGAAGGGUAGCCGGGCUGAGAGGGUGAGAGGCCACAUUGGGAUGGGGAUGCGACCCAGACUCGUACGGGAGGCAGCGGUGGAGAGUAUAACACAGUAGGCGGGAGCCUGGUGCGACAAAGCAGCGUGGGGGAUGAGAGGAAUCGGGUUGGGAACCAAUUUCGCCUGUCACGGGGCGAGAGUGACGGUAAUGGGUGAAGAAGCACCGGCUAACUACGUG